UAGCAGAACCUCCAUACAUCUCUCUCUGAUAUCGUGGCACAGUUUGAGCUUAACCACUUGAUGGAAACAACAUGAAGGGGAGGGGAUGAAGGAGCAUACCUUCUUCUUCUUUUGCUUGUUUCUGAGUAGCUAAUUUGACCAUGUGUUCCACCCCGUCCACCACAUCGUCCAUCUCGUAGCAAGCGUUGGUGAGCUUUUCUGAUCAAAGCCUCACAGCUUCUUCCUUAAACUGCCUUCGCUCAGCAUCAUUUAGCACCGCCUUCAAUUGUAGAGUUAGGAGAUCGGUGGCUCUAAAAUUCUCUGUGAACGUUGCCAAAGAGAGAUUGGUGAGGAUUGGUGCAAGAUUUCUCACAUCCCAUCAAUUCUGAUUAAGAAAGAACAAUUCUUUAAAGUUCAAGUACAGGUGCUAUGAUACAGAGUGGCCAAUAUUCAGCCUUGCAGAAAUCUGUUCUAGUUCGGGAAAGCAAAGCAAAGACAUAUAAUUAUCUUUGGAUCAAUGAUGCGUGGUGAAUGUUGCUGCUCUCUUCUAAGAACUAUUGUCAUACAUCUCCUACAAUGUUGUACCUUUGCCAUGUUUAUCAUGGAUUAGUCUGUCUUCAUUUACAUUCCAGCUUCUCCUUUGAUUAUGUUAUAAUCUUAUUAAGACACUGCUUUCUUUCACGAUUGUGGUCAGCAUUUUGCCAUUUCUUUCUUUAUUUAUUUUCAGAUUUCAAAUAGAUGAAAUGACGCAGAAUCAUACUUGGCAUUUCAUAGAAUACUUGGCAUUUAAUAGAAUUCUAGUGAAGCAGCUAGUGUAGAAUAUAAGGAAAUGUCUUCUUCUUUUUCAUCUUAUUUAUUCAUUUAUCAAUCACUUACCAUUGCACAAGUUAGCAAAUUGUGAAAUUUGAAGUGAAAAUAGAUGUGUCAGCUGUGCACAUGUGCACAGCUGCACACACUACACAAGGGUAUUUUUUAAAUUGAUUUCUGCCCGAUAAUAAUCUGUCUUAGAAGAUUAUAAAAGACAAGUUUUAUAAGCACCACCAAAAAAAAAAUCUGAAUGACUUUGCUUGAGAGACAGAAUUUUCUGCCAAGUGAGCUUGCCGGUUUGGUUUAAGAGAAAAGCUACAAUUCAUUUCAGGCGGAUGCUUCCUCCAAUAGAUUGGUUAAUAUCGAAUACAUAUGGCUUUAUUUCCACUGAAAAAGGGGAGGUUUAGGUGGAGCUUUGAGUAUGUCUUGAUGGCUGGCAGGUCCAUGUGGAGUUAGAAUUGUGUUACAGCAUGACUUAGAAGCGAUUAAUAACACUGGUAGGGCUGUUUGGUACUCUUGUUUAAACAACGGUUUUCAGUUUAAACAACAAUAACGCUUUUGACAUGUAUUUCUAUAACACUCAAACACGUAUUUCCACAACACUGAAAACUGAACAACAAUACUUAAAUAUUGCUACCAAACGGGCCAAAAGGUCAAAACACUGUACGUGCAGUGUCCUACUAUAAAAAAAAAAUUUUGGAAGCUCAUGGGGCAAUUGACUCUCUGGCCCCUGGCUCGCCCAGUAUUGGCUACAAUCAAGUUGUCUCUCUCAGUUCAAAUACCUGCAUUAAGCCAAGAACCAUGCUGGCCAAUGCAAGAAAGCUAAAUGUCUGUGGCUGUCUCUCUCUCUCCCCAGAACUGUGUAGACUCACAUGAGGUAAUUCAGAAUGAAGCCAAAUUACAAGAAAUAGUUGUUCCAGAAAGCUAAACAUCUGUGGCUGUCUCUCUCUCUCCCCAGAACCAUGUAGAUUCACAUGAGACUCAGUUGUGGUGAAUGUAACUUCUAUUGGUGGGGAGAGAGGGAGAGGUGGGACUUCAAUUGAUCAAGGAAAUGGGCAUUUAAGCUCUAAAGUUUAGGAGAAGAUGAGAGGAUGAAGCUUUGGAAACUUUGAAGCCUUUGUGGAAUGAUGGAUAUUGGACUGAGACUGUCAGAGAUCUCUUCUUUAUGGCCAAAGACAUUGUUAAGCAUGAUGGCGGGCUGCCACGGUGGUUUUGCCCUGUUUCUUGCGGACGCCCUUUGAAGGAUUCUCCAAUUCCCAAUUCUUCUCCUUUUGCCAGGGAUGGAUGUUACUGGUUUGGGACUUGUUGUGCGCCAUAAAGCUCUUGGGAAGUAAGUCAUAUUACCCUUAUGUCUAUGAUGAAUGUGAAUGCUUCUAUGUUUACAUGGAUUAACACCUUUUAAGUUAAACAUCUCAAUGGUAAUCACUUUAAAUUAAAUUCAUUAUUAUUUAUCAAAAAAGAAAAAAUAAGAAAUAAAAGAAAGCAUCUCAAAGGUGAGAAUAGAAGUUAGUUUAAACAUUUUCAGCCAGGAAUAUAAAAUAGAUGCCCUUACCAUUUCAAACCUGGAAAAUUUAUAGGUUUUUAAUGAGAUGACUCUUUUCUAUUUGGGAAAAAACUAAAUUGAUUUUCUUGCUUAUUAGAUCUUUUCCGACAAUGAGUUCCACUUCCAGAAGGCUUGGCUUUUAAGUCAGCCUAAGAAUAACAAGAACCAAUUCACUCUGUGUAAGAUUUGAACCAACAGCAUCAGUUUUUGAGACCCAUGCUCUACUAAACUGAACUAAGAGUGCUUUAUUACCAGUAAAUAGUUUGUAACCGUGUUGUCUCCUUCCAAUUCCUGGACAAAACUAAAGUGAUGUUCUCCGUGUGUGAUUCUCAUGGAAUGUGUCUUGAUCACAAUGGUGUCUUAAUUUUAAAGCUACCCUUUCCUAUUAUCUUUCCAUAGUAAUGAAAGAAAGUUUCACCUCUUUUUUCUUUGAGAUAAUUAAUUCCUUGGAGAUUCAUAUUAAAAAUUGUAUGCAGCGAAAAUAGGUGUGUUCACAUUCUGGCAUGGUAGACAACUUUACUCUGCCUCUAUGCUGCAUUAUGUAACUUCUCUUAAGAAUAUUUUUGUUCCCAUUUCAUGCCAAUUACAUUCCUCCUGCUUGUAUGCCAUGAAAAGAAAUAGAAGUUGAAUUAGUAGAGUACCUGUCAAACUUAUGUAAGCAUUAUCUCAUUUAAGGAAAUAUCAUGAUACUUGAAUGGAUUCUGCAUAAUUACAGCCACUCACAAGUAAAAUUACUCUCGAUGACUUCUACCUUAAAAUGGCUUUCAUGGCUCGAAUUUUGUUGUGUUGAUACUACAUAAUGAGUGUAGUUAUAUGUAUCUGUACCGUUCUGCUCUGGCUGCGUGCCUCUUAUUUGUAAAUAUAUCAAAAAUGUUUUGGCAAGGUGGUACUUGUGUGGAUUACUGAGGAAAAAAAGUCACAAAUUUAACAGAGAGAAAGUUGUGCAAUUUUUUAUUGCAGUUCAAAGUGUUUUCUCUACUGCUUUCCUUUUUUGGUUGCUUUUGCAUUCUACAUCUGCAGGUGUGCAUUAUUUUCAGUGACUUUUGUGGAAACUUAUCUUUGUUGCACACAGUGUAUGU